UGAGGAGAUAAUAAAAAAUCUAACAGAGAGGACAUCUUUCACCGAUUAGGAUGAACAUAUCAAGGAUGACUCGCUGGGAAGCAACAAAAGGGACUAUUCAUCACCGGUUACUGGGUAAGAAUAACCUUGCUGGGGAAAACUGCAGAAAAUAGGAUUCACAACUACCAGUUACUGGGCAGAAGACCUAGGGUGAGAGUAUC
rnacentral:lncRNA from 1 species